rnacentral:lncRNA from 1 species
GGGCUGCCCCAGGGCCCAAAGGGUGUGCUCGCCCCGCCCCUCCUCGCCCUCCCUCCACCCCUCCCUUCCUACAGCCCCCUCCCAUCUCCAGCCCCCUCCCCUUCCCCACCUUUCCCCUCCUCCCCUUUCCUAUCUCCCUCCUUCCCCAAGCCCCUUCCCCCUGCAAGAUCCGAGUGCGCGGUCCCCGCAGAGUGAGCGAGUGUAGGAGCUAGCGAGUAUAGACCACCGGACUCGGCGGCGCGAUGGAGCCGGAAGCUUGCCUUCACGCCCCUGCCCUGCGCCGAUGUCCCACUGACCUCCACCCCCGUCCCAAGGCAUGUGGCCAUCCCCGGAGCCUGAGCCGCCCGCCAUGUUCCCAGCCGACAGGACGGAGGAGACCCCCAGGCAAGUGUUUACGUUUUUCCUCGCUUAAAAAAAUGCCGCGCAAUGGGUUGACUUCAGCAAUGGGAAUUCCCU